rnacentral:rRNA from 1 species
CUGCGGGUGCUUACCAUGCAGUCGAACGAGAAAAUCCUGGCUUGCCAGGAUGAGUAAAGUGGCGCACGGGUGAGUAACACGUGAGUAAUCUGCCCCUAAGUUAGGAAUAACAUUGCGAAAGCGAUGCUAAUACCUGGUAAGCCCACGACUUCUUCGGUAGAUGUGGGAAAAGGUGGCCUCUGACAUAAGCUAUCACUUAGGGAUGAGCUCGCGGACCAUUAGCUUGUUGGUAGGGUAAUGGCCUACCAAGGCGAUGAUGGUUAGCUGGCCUGAGAGGGUGGCCAGCCACACUGGAACUGAGACACGGUCCAGACUCCUACGGGAGGCAGCAGUGGGGAAUCUUGCGCAAUGGGGGAAACCCUGACGCAGCAACGCCGCGUGAGUGACGAAGGCCUUCGGGUCGUAAAGCUCUGUCAGAUGGAAAGAAUUAAUUCGCUGAAAAUAUUGGCGAGUGAUGACGGUACCAUCAGAGGAAGCACCGGCUAACUCCGUGCCAGCAGCCGCGGUAAUACGGAGGGUGCAAGCGUUGUUCGGAAUUAUUGGGCGUAAAGCGCGUGUAGGCGGGAAGACAGGUCAGUUGUGAAAUCCCUUGGCCUAACCAAGGAACUGCAUCUGAAACCUUUUUCCUCGAGUACGAUAGGGGAGGGCGGAAUUCCCAGUGUAGAGGUGAAAUUCAUAGAUAUUGGGAGGAACACCAGUGGCGAAGGCGACCCUCUGGAUCGAUACUGACGCUGAGACGCGAAAGCGUGGGUAGCAAACAGGAUUAGAUACCCUGAUAGUCCACGCUGUAAACGAUGUGCACUAGGUGUUGGAGGUACUU